rnacentral:rRNA from 1 species
UACGUAGGGGGCUAGCGUUGUCCGGAUUUAUUGGGCGUAAAGAGCGUGUAGGCGGCCAGGUAGGUCCGCUGUGAAAGUCCGAGGCUCAACCUCGGAAUGUCGGCGGAAACCCUCUGGCUAGAGUCCGGAAGAGGAGAGUUGAAUUCCCGGUGUAGCGGUGAAAUGCGCAGAUAUCGGGAAGAACACCCGUGGCGAAGGCGGCUCUCUGGAACGGUACUGACGCUGAGACGCGAAAGCCGGGGGAGCAAACAGG